rnacentral:lncRNA from 1 species
AACUAACAACCUUGAUAUUAAAAAGUGUAAAAAUUUUCUUCCACAAUGAAGAUCAGAACAUAGCCUAUCGGCCUGCAAAGCUAGGCCUAACAAACAUAGAUGCCGGCUAGCAGCCUGCAGGCUUAACUUCCAAAUAAAAAAGAUAGAAAAAAGACCCCCAAGGAAGCAAGCUUACUCCGCUCUGACUAUCUUUUCUCUCCAUUAUUUUCAAAGCUUCGGCUAACUUCAGUAUCGGAAGAUCAUCCACCAGAACAUCUCCGAUGAGUACUAUAAACUUUCUUUAUAGAUACUCUCCGACAUCGCAGAUUUUGACUGACGUCCAGCUCUAGCCAUAUUAGCACUCCAUCGGAGCCUUAUGACAAUAGUAUCAAAAUAAUUGCAGCUUGCAGGAAUGUGAAAAUUGACAAGCCCGUAAUUUCCAUGAUUGAAAACCAUGUGGUUCAUUGUGCAGCUUGCGCAUAUAAUGCAUCAUGGACAGCUGAUAUUAAAUUGGAUAACCAAAUAGUCCAAUCAUUAGAUUAAUUUAUCCUGCACUCAUCCAAAAUUGUGGAAGGUCCCUAUGGAAUUGUCAAUGUUCCUUAAUUGAGUAAAAUCUAGAAAGAAAAUGGAGAACAGUCCACUUGCUGCCUUACCAGGAAUUUGGGCUAUAUUUCUCUUCCAUUGGUCAGGGACAGUGAGGAAAUGGACCAGUGAUGGCUUGAAAGAGGUCAUGGAAAAUAUGAACAAGUCGGCACCAAAUGUCAAAGAAAGAACAAAGACUGCACCCAAAGGGACUUGGUAAUGGCUCCCAUACAUUUAAAUUGGGUGGUGGAGACUCUCCUUUCUACUGUGCAUGGCCUCAAGCAGGCCACCCACUUGC